AACCAGCUCUCCAAGCAGGGCAAGAACAGCCAUUCACAAACUCCUUCUCUCCCACCACACAGGCUUCCCACCCAGACACAAUGACUGCAGAGAAUCAAUCUACAGUGACAGAGUUUAUCCUCGGGGGGCUAACUAACAGGCCAGAGCUCCAGCUACCCCUCUUCCUCCUCUUUCUGGGGAUCCUCGUAGUCACCAUGGUAGGAAACCUGGGCAUGAUCACCUUGAUUGGACUCAACUCACAGCUUCACACCCCCAUGUACUUCUUCCUCAGUAACCUGUCACUCGUGGAUCUCUGCUACUCCUCUGUCAUUACCCCUAAAAUGCUCAUCAACUUUGUGGCCCAAAGAAACCUCAUCUCCUAUGUGGGGUGCAUGUCUCAGCUAUACUUCUUCCUGGUUUUCGUCAUUGCUGAGUGUUACAUGCUCACUGUGAUGGCCUAUGACCGCUAUGUGGCCAUCUGUCAACCCUUGCUUUAUAACAUCAUCAUGUCUCCUGCCCUCUGCUCUCUGCUGGUGGCUUUUGUCUAUGCCGUAGGACUCAUCGGUUCAGCAAUUGAGACUGGCCUCAUGUUGAAAUUAAACUAUUGUGAGGACCUCAUCAGCCACUACUUCUGUGACAUCCUCCCCCUCAUGAAGCUCUCUUGCUCUAGUACCUAUGAUGUAGAAAUGGCUGUCUUCUUUUUAGCUGGAUUUGACAUUAUCGUCACAAGCUUAACCGUACUCAUUUCCUAUGCAUUCAUCCUGUCCAGCAUCCUUCGCAUCAGCUCCAACGAGGGCAGGUCCAAAGCCUUCAGCACCUGCAGCUCCCACUUUGCAGCUGUGGCUUGUUCUAUGGAUCCACAGCAUUCAUGUACUUAAAGCCUUCUACAGCUAGUUCCCUGGCCCGGGAGAAUGUAGCUUCUGUGUUCUACACCACAGUGAUCCCCAUGCUCAACCCCCUGAUCUACAGCCUGAGAAACAAGGAGGUGAAGACCGCACUGGACAAAACACUGAGGAGAAAAGUCUUUUGAUGUAAAUGCUGAUCUUUCUUCAUGUAAAAGUAAGUGGUUAUGCACACCUGUAUGAUAACCUCUGCAAGCUCACCCA